AUUGAACGCUGGCGGCAGGCCUAACACAUGCAAGUCGAACGAGUGGCGGACGGGUGAGUAAUGUCUGGGGAACUGCCUGAUGGAGGGGGAUAACUACUGGAAACGGUGGCUAAUACCGCAUACCAUCAGAUGUGCCCAUAUGGGAUUAGCUAGUAGGUGGGGUAACGGCUCACCAAGGCGACGAUCCCUAGCUGGUCUGAGAGGAUGACCAGACACACUGGAACGGAGACACGGUCCAGACUCCUACGGGAGGCAGCAGUGGGGAAUAGUGCACAAUGGGCGCAAGCCUGAUGCAGGCAUGCCGGGUGUAUGAAGAAGGCCUUCGGGUUGUAAAGUACUUUCAGCGGGGAGGCGUUACCCGCAGAAGAAGCACCGGCUAACUCCGUGCCAGCAGCCGCGGUAAUU
rnacentral:rRNA from 1 species